rnacentral:misc_RNA from 1 species
GAUGAAGAACGUAGCGAAAUGCGAUAAGUAAUGUGAAUUGCAGAAUUCAGUGAAUCAUCGAAUCUUUGAACGCACAUUGCGCCCGCCAGUAUUCUGGCGGGCAUGCCUGUCCGAGCGUCAUUUCAACCAUCAAGCCCCGGGCUUGUGUUGGGGACCUGCGUCCGACGCAGGCCCUGAAAACCAGUGGCGGGCUCGCUGUCCACACCGAGCGUAGUAACUAACCUCGCUAUGGAGUGGCGCGGGCGCCUGCCGUAAAACCCCCAAUUUCACAGGUUGACCUCGGAUCAGGUAGGAAUACCCGCUGAACUUAAGCAUAUCAAUAAGCGGAGGA